AUGGAAAUGUUAACAGGAAAAAGAAAAAAUCCAUUUUAUUGUUUCAUUAUAUUAAUUUUAAAAACUGGUACCGGUAAAUCCAGCACGGUGAUCUCUAUUGAAUCAUUUUUACAACAUUUUUCCAUUACCAACGAGUGUAAAUCAUUGAAAUUUGUUGGUGUAAAAGAGUGGGAACCUCUUCUAAAGCAGCCGAAAGCACAAUCAUUGAAUUUUCUUUACUGUAUUUGUAUGUGACAAAAUAUCAAUCAUAUAGCAGAGCAAACCGCAGUAUAAUUCGAGGUUUGACCGAAUCCAAUAUCCAGUGGCUUCUCAAAACAGUUUAUGUGGUGUUAUCGUCUUACUAAAAGUUCCCAAAGUGUGCUAAAUGGGGUCAUUAGAGGCAAUAAGAGGGAAACCCCUGCUCUCCCAAGCUAUAAUAAAAACAAGAAACGCUCUUUCAUGUAUAGCCAGAAUAACCAGCCAGCCACCAGGGUUGCCAAGUGCACGCUUUCCCUGCAGAAUCAGGCUACUUUUAAACUCGGUUGGUUUUUGUUUCACAGAUUGCAUACUUUUUUUUCAUUGAAAUGUUUGCAUGAACAUGCACUCUUCCCAGUGUAUGGUUUCACAAACAGAGAAACUGUGUGCUUUGGGAACGUGUAGGUUUUUGUUCAGUUUGGGCUUCAAAUAGUAAAUGGAGGGCCAUAUAGUUUAGUCUCAGCCUCAGACGGCACACCCAUGAACCGCUGGCUGAACGUCUGAUGCACCACACACACAAAAUGGAAAACACUUCAGGAGUUUCAAAGUCGUCAUCUGAUUGGAUUAAUUCUAGGAUUUCCAGGACGGUACACAACGGCUGUUGUGACUCCAAAGCCCCUUUAUGGAAAAGAAAGUCGUGACAACUGUGAUGAUCAUUAUUUAUCAAAAUCAACAAAAUGCUGGAUUUCCAAAAGUAUUUGAAAUUCACAGUACCAUUAUUGCAGUAAACUUGCACAAUGUUUUACUAAAUGUAUACACAUUAUAUUUUAGAUGACGUAUUGCAGAUAUAAAAAGAGACUGCAGAGAAAUAAAAAACAGCUUCAACGGUUCAUUGCAUUCAGGAUUCUUUUGAUUAAAAUGAAAAACAGGCAUCUUAAAGCUUGGACUUUGUCAGGAAGUAUCUGCAGAAUAAACACUGCUGUCAUUCAUUCCCUAUUAUAUUGCAACUGAAUAAUACACUGAUAUUUAUAUCCAUCAUUCUAGAAAGUCUAUUCUCACUAACAAAAGUCGAGAGAAGAAAGAAGCGGGAAGCUGUUUGUUUCCAGUUCCAUUGGUUUGAAGCUGAAUUCUAAGGGAACGUCCGAUACACAAAGCUUUUUAUGAAAUCCUUUCAGUUCUCCUCAGUGAAGGUGAGCUCUAGUUCACUACAAUUCCUUUCAAACCUCAUGAAUAGCUACAUAACAGCUUCAUUCAAAUUGCAGUAGUGAUAUUGUUGCUUUAAAGGGUUAGUUCACCCAAAAAUGAAAAUUAGGCUGUUUUACUCACCCCCGAGGAAUUCUAGGUGUAUAUAGCCCCUUUCACACUGCACGUUGCACCCGGGAAAUUGCCAGAACAUUGCCGGGUCGCCUUCUGUGUGAACGCAAACACGUCCCGGGAUUGAUAGCUGAGAUCGUUUGCCAGCUUCAGUGAAAGUUAACAUGCCUAGCGUUUUCGUGUGAACACAAGCAAAUAUUCCGGGUAGUCACUGGCAGUGUGAAAGUGCAAAACUCAUUACCCAUGUAUUUUCCGGAAUCACAGUGUGAAAGGGCGGGUGUUGCAUUGCUUCAGUCCAAAAGAAGUUAAAUAAAAAGCGCCCUUCCAUUUAG
ensembl:lncRNA